UACGGGGGGGGCAAGCGUUGUUCGGAAUUACUGGGCGUAAAGGGCUCGUAGGCGGCCAACUAAGUCAGACGUGAAAUCCCUCGGCUUAACCGGGGAACUGCAUCUGAUACUGGAUGGCCUGAGUUCGGGAGAGGGAUGCGGAAUUCCAGGUGUAGCGGUGAAAUGCGUAGAGAUGUGGAGGAACACCGAUGGCGAAGGCAGCCUCCUGGGCCAGCACUGACGCUCAUGCACGAAAGCGUGGGGAGCAAACAGG
rnacentral:rRNA from 1 species